rfam:Salmo salar isolate Sally breed double haploid chromosome ssa12, whole genome shotgun sequence.
UGCAUUCACUACUGUAAGUCGCUCUGUAUAAGAGCGUCUGCUAAAUGACUAAAA